GUCGGCCUUCUUAUUUUAUAAGCUAUCGCGUGGAGGGAGGGGGUUGCGUCUGAUUAGCUAGUUGGAGGGGUAACGGCCCACCAAGGCGAUGAUCAGUAGCCGGUCUGAGAGGAUGAACGGCCACAUUGGGACUGAGACACGGCCCAAACUCCUACGGGAGGCAGCAGUGGGGAAUCUUCCGCAAUGGACGAAAGUCUGACGGAGCAACGCCGCGUGAGUGAUGACGGCCUUCGGGUUGUAAAGCUCUGUUAAUCGGGACGAAAGAGCUCUGUGUGAAUAAUGCAGAGAAGUGACGGUACCGGAAUAGAAAGCCACGGCUAACUACGUGCC
rnacentral:rRNA from 1 species